GAGUGUAGCUCAGUGGUAGAGCACUUGCCUAGCAUGCCUGAGGCCCUGGGUUUGUUUCCCAGAACCACCCA
rnacentral:tRNA from 1 species